AACGAACGCUGGCGGCAUGCCUAACACAUGCAAGUCGAACGAGACCUUUGGGUUUCGUGGCGUACGGGUGCGUAACGCCUAGCAACCUGCUAUUAGGUUCGGAAUAACUCUCCGAAAGGGGUGCUACUAUCGGAUACUGUAUUCGGAACAAAGUGUUAUCGUCUUUGGAUGGGCCCGCAUUGGAUAGGCGAGUUGGUAGGGAAAACGCCUACCAAGGCGACAAUAUUUACCUGGUCUGAGAGGAUGAGCAGACACACUGGUGCUGAGACACAGCACAGAAUCCUACGGGAGGCGGGAGUGGUUAACGUUGGACAGUGGGCGAAGGGCUGAUCCAGCUAUGCCGCUUGAGUGAUGAAGUUCUUAGAGUUUUAAUACUCUUUUACCCGAGAUGAUAAUGACAGUACCUAAAGAAUAAGCUCCGGCUAACUCCGUG
rnacentral:rRNA from 1 species